GUGCCAGCAGCCGCGGUAAUACCGGCAGCUCAAGUGAUGGCCACUCUUAUUGGGCCUAAAGCGUCCGUAGCUGGCUGCGCAAGUCCGUCGGGAAAUCCACUCGCCCAACGAGUGGGCGUCCGACGGAAAUUGCACAGCUUGGGACCGGAAGGCUCGAAGGGUACGUUCGGGGUAGGAGUGAAAUCCCAUAAUCCCGCACGGACCACCGAUGGCGAAAGCACUUCGAGAAAACGGAUCCGACAGUGAGGGACGAAAGCUCGGGUCUCAAACCGGAUUAGAUACCCCAGUAGUCC
rnacentral:rRNA from 1 species